CCUACGGGAGGCAGCAGUGGGGAAUAUUGCACAAUGGGGGAAACCCUGAUGCAGCGACGCCGCGUGAGUGAAGAAGUAUUUCGGUACGUAAAGCUCUAUCAGCAGGGAAGAAAAUGACGGUACCUGACUAAGAAGCCCCGGCUAACUACGUGCCAGCAGCCGCGGUAAUACGUAGGGGGCAAGCGUUAUCCGGAUUUACGGGGUUUAAAGGGAGCGUAGACGGCAGCGCAAGUCUGGAGUGAAAUCCCAUGGCUUAACCAUGGAACUGCUUUGGAAACUGUGCAGCUAGAGUGCAGGAGAGGUAAGCGGAAUUCCUAGUGUAGCGGUGAAAUGCGUAGAUAUUAGGAGGAACACCAGUGGCGAAGGCGGCUUACUGGACUGUAACUGACGUUGAGGCUCGAAAGCGUGGGGAGCAAACAGGAUUAGAUACCCUUGUAGUC
rnacentral:rRNA from 1 species